AUGGUGUUGGAGGUCGGCGACAUGGAAGAUGGGCAGCUUUCCGACUCGGAUUCCGACAUGAGGGUUGCACCCAGCGACAGGCCGCUGCAAUUGCCGAAAGUGGUAGGUGGCGACAGUGCUAUGAGGGCCUUCCAGAAUACGGCAACUCCAUGUAUCACAUGAUUGAGCUGUUGAAAGUGUGGAUUCAAGUGAAGAGAGAUUUUCUGAUUCAGAUGAUGAUAGCUGUCUUUGGAAAUGCAAACGACAGAAAUGUUUUAACCCUCCUCCCAAACCAGAGCCUUUUCCGUUUGGCCAGAGCAGUCAGAAACCACCUGUUGCUGGAGGAAAGAAGAUUAACAACAUACGGGGUGCUGUGCUGCAGGAACAGAAUCAAGAUGCAGUGGCCACUGAACCUGGUAUCUUGGGAAUGGAGGGCACUAUUGACAGAAGCAGACAAUCCGAGACCUACGAUUAUUUGCUUGCUAAGAAACUUAGGAGGGAAUCUCAAGAACACACAAAAGAUCUAGACAAGGAACUAGAUGAAUAUAUGCACGGCGGCAAAAAAAUGGGAUCAAAGGAAGAGGAAAAUGGGCGAGGUCAUCUCAAAAGGAAACGACCUGUCAAAGACAGGCUGGGGAACAGACCAGAAAUGAACUAUAAAGGUCGACGUCAGAUCACAGAGGAAGAUUCUCAAGAGAAAGUGGCUGAUGAAAUUUCAUUCAGGUUACAGGAACCAAAGAAAGACCUGAUAGCUCGAGUAGUGAGGAUUACUGGGAACAAAAAGGCAAUUGAACUUCUGAUGGAAACUGCUGAAGUUGAACAAAAUGGUGGUCUCUUUAUAAUGAAUGGUAGUCGAAGAAGAACACCAGGGGGAGUUUUUCUGAAUCUCUUGAAAAAUAUUCCUAGUAUCAGCGAGGAACAAAUUAAGGACAUUUUCUACAUUGAAAACCAAAAGGAAUAUGAAAAUAAAAAAGUUGCUAGGAAGAGGAGAAGACAAGUGUUGGGAAAAAAGAUGAAACAAGCUAUUAAAAGUCUAAAUUUUCAAGAAGAUGAUGACACAUCACGAGAAACUUUUACAAGUGACACAAAUGAGGCCUUGGCCUCUCUUGAUGAGUCACAGGAAGGACAUGGAGAAGCCAAGUUGGAUUCAGAGGAAGUCACUGAAGUUGAUCAUUCUCAUGAUUUGGACAUUUUUUAAGU